rnacentral:tRNA from 1 species
UGUAGAAUAGACUAAAGGAAAGUCGCCAGACUCAUUAUUUGGAAAUGUGGGUUCAAAUCCGGCUUCUAUAU